AACGAACGCUGGCGGCAGGCCUAACACAUGCAAGUCGAGCGAACCCUUCGGGGUUAGCGGCGGACGGGUUAGUAACGCGUGGGAAUAUACCCUUUGGUACGGAAUAGCCUCGGGAAACUGAGAGUAAUACCGUAUGUGCCCUUCGGGGGAAAGAUUUAUCGCCAAAGGAUUAGCCCGCGUUGGAUUAGAUAGUUGGUGGGGUAAUGGCCUACCAAGUCUACGAUCCAUAGCUGGUUUGAGAGGAUGAUCAGCAACACUGGGACUGAGACACGGCCCAGACUCCUACGGGAGGCAGCAGUGGGGAAUCUUAGACAAUGGGCGCAAGCCUGAUCUAGCCAUGCCGCGUGGACGAUGAAGGCCUUAGGGUUGUAAAGUCCUUUCAGAUGGGAAGAUAAUGACGGUACCAUCAGAAGAAGCCCGGCAAACUCCGUGCCAGCAGCCGCGGU
rnacentral:rRNA from 1 species